AACGCAUCUUGCACCCUUUGGUAUUCCGAAGGGUAUGCCUGUUUGAGUGUCUUUAACGACAUCAACGUCGCACCUCUGCGGGUGGGACGUCGGACGUGAGCGCUGCCGUGAUCGGUUUCACCGGCUCGCUUGAAAAGCGUUAAGCCCGAUCCUCAUCGGUCCUAAUCCGUCAGGUUGGUGUUGUAGAACUCUCGAAUCGCCUCGUGACGGACGCGACCUUUGGUGGGCUUUGCGUGAUGGGCCCAGGCCUCAUCUCUUGAAUCGGACCUCAAAUCAGGUAGGACUACCCGCUGAACUUAA
rnacentral:misc_RNA from 1 species